GGAAGGACCAUAACCCAGCGGUAGAGCAAUUGUCUUGCAUACAGAAGGUCCCAGGUUCAAUCUCUGGUGUCUCCA